CGUGCCUAACACAUGCAAGUCGAACGGAGUGAGAGCUUGCUCCUAGCUUAGUGGCGGACGGGCGAGUAACGCGUGAGUAACCUGCCUCUGAGAGUGGAAUAACGUUUUGAAAAGAACGCUAAUACCGCAUAACAUAUAACUGCCGCAUGACAGAUAUAUCAAAGAUUUUUAUCGCUCGGAGAUGGACUCGCGUCCGAUAGUUAGUUGGUGAGGUAACGGCUCACCAAGACCGCGAUCGGUAGCCGGACUGAGAGGUUGAACGGCCACAUUGGGACUGAGACACGGCCCAGACUCCUACGGGAGGCAGCAGUGGGGGAUAUUGCGCAAUGGGGGGCCAACCCUGACGCAGCAACGCCGCGUGAAGGAUGAAGGUUUUCGGAUUGUAAACUUCUUUUAUUAAGGGCGAAAAAUGACGGUACUUAAUGAAUAAGCUCCGGCUAACUACGUGCCAGCCGCUGC
rnacentral:rRNA from 1 species